GACGGACGCUGGCGGCGUGCUUAACACAUGCAAGUCGAACGGAAAGGCCCUGCUUUUGUGGGGUGCUCGAGUGGCGAACGGGUGAGUAACACGUGAGUAACCUGCCCUUGACUUUGGGAUAACUUCAGGAAACUGGGGCUAAUACCGGAUAGGAGCUCCUGCUGCAUGGUGGGGGUUGGAAAGUUUCGGCGGUUGGGGAUGGACUCGCGGCUUAUCAGCUUGUUGGUGGGGUAGUGGCUUACCAAGGCUUUGACGGGUAGCCGGCCUGAGAGGGUGACCGGCCACAUUGGGACUGAGAUACGGCCCAGACGGCAACGGGAGGCAGCAGUGGGGAAUAUUGCACAAUGGGAGGAAGCGUGAUGCGGCAACGCCGGGUGCGGGAUGACGGCCUUCGGGUUGUAAACCGCUUUCGCCUGUGACGAAGCGUGAGUGACGGUAAUGGGUAAAGAAGCACCGGCUAACUACGUG
rnacentral:rRNA from 1 species